rnacentral:sRNA from 1 species
AACUAGCCCAGAUUGAAAUGGAAAUUCUUGCGCAGGAAAAAACUAUUUUUUCUUGGAUAAAAAAAGCGACCAACGGAAGCUCUUUUUUAGCCUUAGAAAAAAAGUUUUUUACAAGCAAAAUUGCAAUGGAAAGCUGGAUUAGCU